rnacentral:rRNA from 1 species
GGGUUGUGAGGUUAAGCGACUAAGCGUACACGGUGGAUGCCCUGGCAGUCAGAGGCGAUGAAGGACGUGCUAAUCUGCGAUAAGCGUCGGUAAGGUGAUAUGAACCGUUAUAACCGGCGAUUUCCGAAUGGGGAAACCCAGUGUGUUUCGACACACUAUCAUUAACUGAAUCCAUAGGUUAAUGAGGCGAACCGGGGGAACUGAAACAUCUAAGUACCCCGAGGAAAAGAAAUCAACCGAGAUUCCCCCAGUAGCGGCGAGCGAACGGGGAGCAGCCCAGAGCCUGAAUCAGUGUGUGUGUUAGUGGAAGCGUCUGGAAAGGCGCGCGAUACAGGGUGACAGCCCCGUACACAAAAAUGCACAUACUGUGAGCUCGAUGAGUAGGGCGGGACACGUGGUAUCCUGUCUGAAUAUGGGGGGACCAUCCUCCAAGGCUAAAUACUCCUGACUGACCGAUAGUGAACCAGUACCGUGAGGGAAAGGCGAAAAGAACCCCGGCGAGGGGAGUGAAAAAGAACCUGAAACCGUGUACGUACAAGCAGUGGGAGCACGCUUAGGCGUGUGACUGCGUACCUUUUGUAUAAUGGGUCAGCGACUUAUAUUCUGUAGCAAGGUUAACCGAAUAGGGGAGCCGAAGGGAAACCGAGUCUUAACUGGGCGUUAAGUUGCAGGGUAUAGACCCGAAACCCGGUGAUCUAGCCAUGGGCAGGUUGAAGGUUGGGUAACACUAACUGGAGGACCGAACCGACUAAUGUUGAAAAAUUAGCGGAUGACUUGUGGCUGGGGGUGAAAGGCCAAUCAAACCGGGAGAUAGCUGGUUCUCCCCGAAAGCUAUUUAGGUAGCGCCUCGUGAAUUCAUCUCCGGGGGUAGAGCACUGUUUCGGCAAGGGGGUCAUCCCGACUUACCAACCCGAUGCAAACUGCGAAUACCGGAGAAUGUUAUCACGGGAGACACACGGCGGGUGCUAACGUCCGUCGUGAAGAGGGAAACAACCCAGACCGCCAGCUAAGGUCCCAAAGUCAUGGUUAAGUGGGAAACGAUGUGGGAAGGCCCAGACAGCCAGGAUGUUGGCUUAGAAGCAGCCAUCAUUUAAAGAAAGCGUAAUAGCUCACUGGUCGAGUCGGCCUGCGCGGAAGAUGUAACGGGGCUAAACCAUGCACCGAAGCUGCGGCAGCGACGCUGAUGCGUUGUUGGGUAGGGGAGCGUUCUGUAAGCCUGNNNNNNNNNNNNNNNNNNNNNNNNNNNNNNNNNNNNNNNNNNNNNNNNNNNNNNNNNNNNNNNNNNNNNNNNNNNNNNNNNNNNNNNNNNNNNNNNNNNNNNNNNNNNNNNNNNNNNNCCCGCUCGCCGGAAGACCAAGGGUUCCUGUCCAACGUUAAUCGGGGCAGGGUGAGUCGACCCCUAAGGCGAGGCCGAAAGGCGUAGUCGAUGGGAAACAGGUUAAUAUUCCUGUACUUGGUGUUACUGCGAAGGGGGGACGGAGAAGGCUAUGUUGGCCGGGCGACGGUUGUCCCGGUUUAAGCGUGUAGGCUGGUUUUCCAGGCAAAUCCGGAAAACUAAGGCUGAGGCGUGAUGACGAGGCACUACGGUGCUGAAGCAACAAAUGCCCUGCUUCCAGGAAAAGCCUCUAAGCAUCAGGUAACAUCAAAUCGUACCCCAAACCGACACAGGUGGUCAGGUAGAGAAUACCAAGGCGCUUGAGAGAACUCGGGUGAAGGAACUAGGCAAAAUGGUGCCGUAACUUCGGGAGAAGGCACGCUGAUAUGUAGGUGAAGCGACUUGCUCGUGGAGCUGAAAUCAGUCGAAGAUACCAGCUGGCUGCAACUGUUUAUUAAAAACACAGCACUGUGCAAACACGAAAGUGGACGUAUACGGUGUGACGCCUGCCCGGUGCCGGAAGGUUAAUUGAUGGGGUCAGCGCAAGCGAAGCUCUUGAUCGAAGCCCCGGUAAACGGCGGCCGUAACUAUAACGGUCCUAAGGUAGCGAAAUUCCUUGUCGGGUAAGUUCCGACCUGCACGAAUGGCGUAAUGAUGGCCAGGCUGUCUCCACCCGAGACUCAGUGAAAUUGAACUCGCUGUGAAGAUGCAGUGUACCCGCGGCAAGACGGAAAGACCCCGUGAACCUUUACUAUAGCUUGACACUGAACAUUGAGCCUUGAUGUGUAGGAUAGGUGGGAGGCUUUGAAGUGUGGACGCCAGUCUGCAUGGAGCCGACCUUGAAAUACCACCCUUUAAUGUUUGAUGUUCUAACGUUGACCCGUGAUCCGGGUUGCGGACAGUGUCUGGUGGGUAGUUUGACUGGGGCGGUCUCCUCCUAAAGAGUAACGGAGGAGCACGAAGGUUGGCUAAUCCUGGUCGGACAUCAGGAGGUUAGUGCAAUGGCAUAAGCCAGCUUGACUGCGAGCGUGACGGCGCGAGCAGGUGCGAAAGCAGGUCAUAGUGAUCCGGUGGUUCUGAAUGGAAGGGCCAUCGCUCAACGGAUAAAAGGUACUCCGGGGAUAACAGGCUGAUACCGCCCAAGAGUUCAUAUCGACGGCGGUGUUUGGCACCUCGAUGUCGGCUCAUCACAUCCUGGGGCUGAAGUAGGUCCCAAGGGUAUGGCUGUUCGCCAUUUAAAGUGGUACGCGAGCUGGGUUUAGAACGUCGUGAGACAGUUCGGUCCCUAUCUGCCGUGGGCGCUGGAGAACUGAGGGGGGCUGCUCCUAGUACGAGAGGACCGGAGUGGACGCAUCACUGGUGUUCGGGUUGUCAUGCCAAUGGCACUGCCCGGUAGCUAAAUGCGGAAGAGAUAAGUGCUGAAAGCAUCUAAGCACGAAACUUGCCCCGAGAUGAGUUCUCCCUGACUCCUUGAGAGUCCUGAAGGAACGUUGAAGACGACGACGUUGAUAGGCCGGGUGUGUAAGCGCAGCGAUGCGUUGAGCUAACCGGUACUAAUGAACCGUGAGGCUUAACCUUACAACGCCGAAGCUGUU